rnacentral:rRNA from 1 species
GACGAACGCUGGCGGCGUGCUUAACACAUGCAAGUCGAACGGAAAGGCCCUGCUUUUGUGGGGUGCUCGAGUGGCGAACGGGUGAGUAACACGUGAGUAACCUGCCCUUGACUUUGGGAUAACUUCAGGAAACUGGGGCUAAUACCGGAUAGGAGCUCCUGCUGCAUGGUGGGGGUUGGAAAGUUUCGGCGGUUGGGGAUGGACUCGCGGCUUAUCAGCUUGUUGGUGGGGUAGUGGCUUACCAAGGCUUUGACGGGUAGCCGGCCUGAGAGGGUGACCGGCCACAAUGGGACUGAGAUACGGACCAGACUCCUACGGGAGGCAACAGUGGGGAAUAUUGCACAAUGGGCGGAAGCCUGAUGCAGCAACGCCGCGUGCGGGAUGACGGCCUUCGGGUUGUGAACCGCUUUCGCCUGUGACGAAGCGUGAGUGACGGUAAUGGGUAAAGAAGCACCGGCUAACUACGUG